CCCAUUUCGCUAAGAUGAUCAUUUUCUACUCCUUAAGAGCCCAAAUGUCUCCAAAUACCUCCAAAAACUCCAAAGGAUGCUCCAACACCUAAUAAAGACUUAUGUAUGCAAUAUGGAACCUAAAGAUGCCUAAAUAUUAAUCUAAAUGAUUCAACAUGUGCAAGAAUGAAUGACUAAAACAAUGCAAAUAUGCAAGAUAUCAACUCCCCCAAACUUGUCCUUUACUUGUCCACAAGUGAACUUUCAAGAGCUCAUAGGAGAAGAUGUUUGAAGGUGGGAGCUCAUAGCCACAAGAAACACUUCCUAGCACUCAACUUAACAUCCUAAAGAAAUAUAGCAAAUAGUAUGAGCAAACUCUCUUAUUAUACUCUAGCUUCUCUAGGCCUAUCAAUACUCUUAUGCCUCUACACAAGUUGCAAUACUCAUCAACCAACAAGUUCCUUCA
rnacentral:lncRNA from 1 species